GGACUUCAUUUUUGGGAACAGCACUGCGCUCUUUGAGCACUGUCAUGUCCACUGCAAGGCAAAUGGGUUCGUAACUGCACAAAGCAGAAAAACUGCUGAGGAGUCAACUGGUUAUGUGUUCCUGAGAUGUGUGAUCACAGGAAAUGGAGGGACUUCAUAUGCGUAUCUUGGACGUCCAUGGGGACCAUUUGGAAGGGUGGCCUAU
rnacentral:misc_RNA from 1 species